rnacentral:rRNA from 1 species
CUGCGAAUGGCUCUUUAUAUCAGUUAAGUUAACUUGAUGAAGAAUACUAAUUGGAUAACCGUAGUAAUUCAGAGCUAAUACAUGUAUAAAGUCUUGUAGACUGCAUUUAUUAGAAUGAAAACCAUAGGUUUCUGGCCUAUUCGUGAGUAAUAAUAACUAAUCAUAUCGUAUGCUUAUGUAACGAUGUGUCUUUCAAGUUUCUGCCCUAUCAGCUUUCGAUGGUAGUGUAUUGGACUACCAUG